UACGUAGGGGGCUAGCGUUGUCCGGAAUCAUUGGGCGUAAAGCGCGUGUAGGCGGUUCGGUAAGUCCGCUGUGAAAGUCGGGGGCUCAACCCUCGGAUGCCGGUGGAUACUGUCGGGCUUGAGUACGGAAGAGGCGAGUGGAAUUCCUGGUGUAGCGGUGAAAUGCGCAGAUAUCAGGAGGAACACCAAUUGCGGAGGCAGCUCGCUGGGACGUUACUGACGCUGAGACGCGAAAGCGUGGGGAGCAAACAGG
rnacentral:rRNA from 1 species